AUUGAACGCUGGCGGCAGGCCUAACACAUGCAGGUCGAACGGUAACAGGAAGAAGCUUGCUUCUUUGCUGACGAGUGGCGGACGGGUGAGUAAUGUCUGGGAAACUGCCUGAUGGAGGGGGAUAACUACUGGAAACGGUAGCUAAUACCGCAUAACGUCGCAAGACCAAAGAGGGGGACCUUCGGGCCUCUUGCCAUCGGAUGUGCCCAGAUGGGAUUAGCUAGUAGGUGGGGUAACGGCUCACCUAGGCGACGAUCCCUAGCUGGUCUGAGAGGAUGACCAGCCACACUGGAACUGAGACACGGUCCAGACUCCUACGGGAGGCAGCAGUGGGGAAUAUUGCACAAUGGGCGCAAGCCUGAUGCAGCCAUGCCGCGUGUAUGAAGAAGGCCUUCGGGUUGUAAAGUACUUUCAGCGGGGAGGAAGGGAGUAAAGUUAAUACCUUGGCUCAUUGACGUUACCCGCAGAAGAAGCACCGGCUAACUCCGUG
rnacentral:rRNA from 1 species